GAUGAACGCUGGCGGCGUGCCUAAUACAUGCAAGUCGAGCGAACGGACGAGAAGCUUGCUUCUCUGAUGUUAGCGGCGGACGGGUGAGUAACACGUGGAUAACCUACCUAUAAGACUGGGAUAACUUCGGGAAACCGGAGCUAAUACCGGAUAAUAUUUUGAACCGCAUGGUUCAAAAGUGAAAGACGGUCUUGCUGUCACUUAUAGAUGGAUCCGCGCUGCAUUAGCUAGUUGGUAAGGUAACGGCUUACCAAGGCAACGAUGCAUAGCCGACCUGAGAGGGUGAUCGGCCACACUGGAACUGAGACACGGUCCAGACUCCUACGGGAGGCAGCAGUAGGGAAUCUUCCGCAAUGGGCGAAAGCCUGACGGAGCAACGCCGCGUGAGUGAUGAAGGUCUUCGGAUCGUAAAACUCUGUUAUUAGGGAAGAACAUAUGUGUAAGUAACUGUGCACAUCUUGACGGUACCUAAUCAGAAAGCCACGGCUAACUACGUGCCAGCAGCCGCGGUAAUACGUAGGUGGCAAGCGUUAUCCGGAAUUAUUGGGCGUAAAGCGCGCGUAGGCGGUUUUUUAAGUCUGAUGUGAAAGCCCACGGCUCAACCGUGGAGGGUCAUUGGAAACUGGAAAACUUGAGUGCAGAAGAGGAAAGUGGAAUUCCAUGUGUAGCGGUGAAAUGCGCAGAGAUAUGGAGGAACACCAGUGGCGAAGGCGACUUUCUGGUCUGUAACUGACGCUGAUGUGCGAAAGCGUGGGGAUCAAACAGGAUUAGAUACCCUGGUAGUCCACGCCGUAAACGAUGAGUGCUAAGUGUUAGGGGGUUUCCGCCCCUUAGUGCUGCAGCUAACGCAUUAAGCACUCCGCCUGGGGAGUACGACCGCAAGGUUGAAACUCAAAGGAAUUGACAGGGACCCGCACAAGCGGUGGAGCAUGUGGUUUAAUUCGAAGCAACGCGAAGAACCUUACCAAAUCUUGACAUCCUUUGACAACUCUAGAGAUAGAGCCUUCCCCUUCGGGGGACAAAGUGACAGGUGGUGCAUGGUUGUCGUCAGCUCGUGUCGUGAGAUGUUGGGUUAAGUCCCGCAACGAGCGCAACCCUUAAGCUUAGUUGCCAUCAUUAAGUUGGGCACUCUAAGUUGACUGCCGGUGACAAACCGGAGGAAGGUGGGGAUGACGUCAAAUCAUCAUGCCCCUUAUGAUUUGGGCUACACACGUGCUACAAUGGACAAUACAAAGGGCAGCGAAACCGCGAGGUCAAGCAAAUCCCAUAAAGUUGUCCUCAGUUCGGAUUGUAGUCUGCAACUCGACUACAUGAAGCUGGAAUCGCUAGUAAUCGUAGAUCAGCAUGCUACGGUGAAUACGUUCCCGGGUCU
rnacentral:rRNA from 1 species